rnacentral:rRNA from 1 species
AUUGAACGCUGGCGGCAUGCCUUACACAUGCAAGUCGAACGGCAGCGCGGACUUCGGUCUGGCGGCGAGUGGCGAACGGGUGAGUAAUGUAUCGGAACGUACCAUUCAGUGGGGGAUAACGCAGCGAAAGUUGCGCUAAUACCGCAUAUUCUGUGCGCAGGAAAGCAGGGGAUCGCAAGACCUUGCGCUGAUUGAGCGGCCGAUAUCAGAUUAGCUAGUUGGUGAGGUAAAGGCUCACCAAGGCGACGAUCUGUAGCGGGUCUGAGAGGAUGAUCCGCCACACUGGAACUGAGCAACGGUCCAGACUCCUACGGGAGGCAGCAGUGGGGAAUUUUGGACAAUGGGCGCAAGCCUGAUCCAGCCAUGCCGCGUGAGUGAAGAAGGCCUUCGGGUUGUGAAGCUCUUUCGGCCGGGAAGAAAUCGUAUGGGUUAAUACCCUGUGCGGAUGACGGUACCGGCAUAAGAAGCACCGGCUAACUACGUGCCAGCCGCCGCCGUAACAC